rnacentral:rRNA from 1 species
UCAGCUUCGGNGGUCGAUUUAUNAGGUUACAAACCAACCCUCUCUCGGGAGGUUCUCUGGGUGAGUCAUGAUAAGCAUGCGGAUCGCAGGGCUUCACGCCGGCGACGGAUCAUGUAAAGUUCCUGCCCUAUCAGCUUCGGAUGGGUAGGGUAUUGGGCCUACCNUGGCGUUANCGGNUAACGGGAGAAUCAGUNGUUUUGACUCCGGAGAGGGAANCCUGAANAGACGCCU